rnacentral:tRNA from 1 species
GUCCCGUUGGUGUAGUUGGUUAUCACGUGGGUCUCAUAUCGUCAUAUAUGACUACUCCUGGAGUAGACAUCCCAAGGCCACGAGUUCGAAUCUCGUACGAGACA